rnacentral:rRNA from 1 species
AACACAUGCAAGUCGAACGGUAGCACAGACAGCUUGCUCUCGGGUGACGAGUGGCGGACGGGUGAGUAAUGUCUGGGAAACUGCCUGAUGGAGGGGGAUAACUACUGGAAACGGUAGCUAAUACCGCAUAACGUCGCAAGACCAAAGAGGGGGACCUUCGGGCCUCUUGCCAUCAGAUGUGCCCAGAUGGGAUUAGCUAGUAGGUGGGGUAACGGCUCACCUAGGCGACGAUCCCUAGCUGGUCUGAGAGGAUGACCAGCCACACUGGAACUGAGACACGGUCCAUACUCCUACGGGAGGCAGCAGUGGGGAAUAUUGCACAAUGGGCGCAAGCCUGAUGCAGCCAUGCCGCGUGUAUGAAGAAGGCCUUCGGGUUGUAAAGUACUUU